rnacentral:rRNA from 1 species
AGUGAACGCUGGCGGUAGGCCUAACACAUGCAAGUCGAACGGCAGCACAGAGGAGCUUGCUCCUUGGGUGGCGAGCGGCGGACGGGUGCGGAAUACAUCGGAAUCUACUCUGUAGUGGGGGAUAACGUAGGGAAACUUACGCUAAUACCGCAUACGACCUACGGGUGAAAGCAGGGGAUCUUUGGACCUUGCGCGAUUGAAUGAGCCGAGGUCGGAUUAGCUAGUUGGCGGGGUAAAGGCCCACCAAGGCGACGAUCCGUAGCUGGUCUGAGAGGAGGAUCAGACACACUGGAAGUGAGACACGGUCCAGACGCCUACUGGAGGACACGGUGGAGACUAGUGGACAAUGCAGGCAAGCCUGAUCCAGCCAUACCGCGUGGGUGAAGAAGGCGUUCGGGUUGUGAAGCCCUUUUGUUGGGAAAGAAAUCCAUCUGGUUAAUACCCGGGUGGGAUGACGGUACCCAAAGAAUAAGCACCGGCUAACUUCGUGCCAGCCGCCGCGGUAA